CUUCCACUACUUCCAGUUCAGCUUCGUUGCUUCGCCGGAGGUGUAGAGAUUGCACGAGUUGCUUCUUCGGCUCCUUUCGUUGGUGUUCGACUUAGCUCGAUCGACGAUAUUUUGAUCGGAAGCAAAAACGGGGGCUCGCUGGCUGUGAAGCUAACUUUCUCUCUUUCGCCCGCUUCUUCGGCCAAAUUCCGUAAAUCCGUCGAACUAGAGAUUUAGUAAAUCCGGGAUUUACGGAAAAAGAGGGAAACAGAGGAUUUAUUCCGCCGUGAGAUUUAAGGGGCGCUAAAAUCCCGUUUGGCAGGAUUUAGCAUAAAUCCUCCUCAAAUCCUGCAUAAAUCCUGUUGCCAAACAGCCCCUAAGGCUGCUAUCAAGGAAGCCUGCGAAGUUGAAUUUAAGGGAGUUUUGAUUUACGUUGAUGAGGACUUGGAUGGUCUCCACAAAUUUCCUAGCUGAUAGCUGAUAACAGGUAGCAAAUGCAGUACAUUUGAUACAGGUAUGUCUAUGAUGUUUGCUAGAGUGCUGAGACCAAUCACUUCUAAUAAAGAGGCAGCUAGUACACUGGGGACUAGAGGAUUUGCUGCAGGGGCAAGCAAAGCAAAGAAAGGAAAAAAAGGUGGGGCAGGUGCUGAUGCUCCAAAAGCCUCUACACUGACCAAGGAAGUUAAGAGCACCACAGUAGUUGGGGCCAACAUCCUCAAGGAUGGUUCAGAUCCCAAAGUGUUACCUGAUUCAGAAUAUCCUGAUUGGCUUUGGCAUUUGAUUGACAAACGUCUUCCAUUGAGUGAGCUCCGGCGAAAGGACAUUGAAACUCUUCCUUAUGAAGAGCUUAAACGCUUUGUUAAGUUAGAUAACCGUUCUCGCAUAAAAGAAAAUAACAUGCUCAAGGCUAAGAACUGAUUUUGAGGCGUCAAGGCAACAUCCUUUCCGUGUAUUAAGAGGUAAGCCUCCAUUGAUGCUCUUUCUGAUUAACCUCUACUGCUUUUAGCACCAAAAACUUAUACCAUUCGCAGGUUAUAUAUCAUUGCGUGUGGUUAUAUCUUGUUAGCUUGUCGAGGGGUUUGCAAAUGAGUCGAGCUAGAGCCAGGUGGUGUUCGAGUCGAGCUCGACUCGUCUCAUAAAAUGAAUCGACUCGAGAGGCUCAUCGAGCUCCUUCCUAACCUCCGUCGUCGAGCGUCAUCCUGAGCUAUGUCGAAGCUGCGAGCUCUGUCGUUCAUCGUCCCGUCAUUCUUUGAGCUCCGUCGUUAGUCAUCUCAUCGAGCUCCGUUUAAGCCGCGAGCUCGUCGUCCCGAGCAGGCUAGCCCCGCUAGUAGCACACGAGCUCCGAGCCUCCAACCUAUGUCAUCCCAAGCUACGUUAUCGAGCUCCAUCGUCCAUCAUCCUAUCAAACAAUUUGAUUCAAACUCCGUCGUUUUGGUUUUCCCGCUAGGCCAUCGAGUUGUCCUCCCGAGGUUUGAUUUUUCUGCUCGGUCACCUCUGCGAGCUGCUCGUCAAGCCGAUGAGUCGAGCAAACGUCUAUUGGAGCUUGAGCUCGAUAAGCCCUCAAGCUCAAAAACACGUUCUAGCUCGACGCGCGAGCUUAAUAAGUUUGACUCGUCGAGCCUGUUGUCGAGUCGAGUGUGAGCCAGCUCACGAGUCGGCUUGACUCGAUUACAAUGCUAUCUUCAAUAUGCAUUCUUCUUUGGAAUCAAGCAAAGUGGAUUUGGUGAGAUGUCAUGUCAUGUGGGUUUGAUAUAUCAAAUAUCUUUACUAUUUCCUACUAACUAGAGUGGGCACAUGUGUCAUAUGAAAACAAAUGCAUGAGAGAGGAAAAGUGGAAAGGCAAAUUAAUUGCAAUGAGUGUUUUGAUAUUGGAGGGUAAAGCUAACAGUACUUAUUGCAUAUUAUUGCAGAACUGUUCACUCUUCAUUAGUGAAGCACUUGUUCAUCAAAGCUUAAAA